AUGUGCGGACGGGAUAAGUGCUGAAAGCAUCUAAGCAUGAAGCCCCCCUCAAGAUGAGAUUUCCCAUUCCGCAAGGAAGUAAGAUCCCUGAAAGAUGAUCAGGUUGAUAGGUCUGAGGUGGAAGUGUGGCGACACAUGGAGCUGACAGAUACUAAUCGAUCGAGGACUUAACCUAA
rnacentral:rRNA from 1 species